rnacentral:rRNA from 1 species
UGCAAGUCGGACGAUGAUGCCCAGCUUGCUGGGUUGAUUAGUGGCGAACGGGUGAGUAACACGUGAGUAACCUGCCCCUGACUUUGGGAUAACUCCGGGAAACCGGGGCUAAUACCGGAUAUGAGCCGUCCUCGCAUGGGGGUGGUUGGAAAGUUUUUCGGUCAGGGAUGGGCUCGCGGCCUAUCAGCUUGUUGGUGGGGUGAUGGCCUACCAAGGCGACGACGGGUAGCCGGCCUGAGAGGGCGACCGGCCACACUGGGACUGAGACACGGCCCAGACUCCUACGGGAGGCAGCAGUGGGGAAUAUUGCACAAUGGGCGCAAGCCUGAUGCAGCGACGCCGCGUGAGGGAUGAAGGCCUUCGGGUUGUAAACCUCUUUCAGCAGGGAAGAACCAAGUGACGGUACCUGCAGAAGAAGCGCCGGCUAACUACGUGCCAGCAGCCGCGGUAAUACGUAGGGCGCAAGCGUUGUCCGGAAUUAUUGGGCGUAAAGAGCUCGUAGGCGGUUUGUCGCGUCUGGUGUGAAAACUCGAGGCUCAACCUC